rnacentral:rRNA from 1 species
GACGUAGGGGGCCAGCGUUUGUUCGGAAUUACUGGGUGUAAAGGGUUCGUAGGCGGUGCGGCAAGUUGGGAGUGAAAUCUCUGGGCUUAACCCAGAGGCUGCUUCCAAAACUGCUGUGCUUGAGUGUGGGAGAGGCGCGUGGAAUUGCAGGUGUAGCGGUGAAAUGCGUAGAUAUCGGGAGGAACACCGGUGGCGAAGGCGGCCUUCUGGACGGAUACUGACGCUGAGACGCGAAAGCGUGGGGAGCAAACAG